GGGGAAGAGCAGUGCUCUGAAGCAGCAUCAAGAAGUGAUAUGCAAAGGACUUCAAAUGUUUGCAUAAAUGAUAGCCAUUCGUCAUCAAAGUGUAAUUUGGAUUUUGGGUCUUCUUCAUUGAAGACGCUUGUGGAUGAUGCUGGUGAGUGCUCCUCAUCUGGUGCUUUAUUUCCUGAAAGAUUGGGUAAUAAUAUGCCAGAAAAGGAUAUAUGCACAGCAAU
rnacentral:misc_RNA from 1 species